AGUGAACGCUGGCGGUAGGCCUAACACAUGCCAGUCGAACGGCAGCACAGUAAGAGCUUGCUCUUACGGGUGGCGAGUGGCGGACGGGUGAGGAAUACAUCGGAAUCUACUUUUUCGUGGGGGAUAACGUAGGGAAACUUACGCUAAUACCGCAUACGACCUACGGGUGAAAGCAGGGGAUCUUCGGACCUUGCGCGAUUGAAUGAGCCGAUGUCGGAUUAGCUAGUUGGCGGGGUAAAGGCCCACCAAGGCGACGAUCCGUAGCUGGUCUGAGAGGAUGAUCAGCCACACUGGAACUGAGACACGGUCCAGACUCCUACGGGAGGCAGCAGUGGGGAAUAUUGUACAAUGGGCGCAAGCCUGAUCCAGCCAUACCGCGUGGGUGAAGAAGUCCUUCGGGUUGUAAAGCCCUUUUGUUGGGAAAGAAAAGCAGCAGGUUAAUACCCCGCUGUUCUGACGGUACCCAAAGAAUAAGCACCAGCUAACUUCGUG
rnacentral:rRNA from 1 species